UGCGUAGGCGGGGCAAUUAGUCAGUGGUGAAAUCCUGCGGCUUAACCGUAGAACUGCCAUUGAUACUGUUGCUCUUGAGUAUAGUUGAGGUGGGCGGAAUGUGUAAUGUAGCGGUGAAAUGCAUAGAUAUUACACAGAACACCAAUCGCGAAGGCAGCUCACUAAGCUAUAACUGACGCUGAGGCACGAAAGCGUGGGGAGCGAACAGGAUUAGAUACCCUGGUAGUCC
rnacentral:rRNA from 1 species